rnacentral:tRNA from 1 species
GUACUUAUAGUUUAAUUAAAACAUUAGAUUGUGGUUCUAAAAACAAAAGUUAAAAUCUUUUUAUUUACC